UACGUAGGGUGCGAGCGUUGUCCGGAAUUAUUGGGCGUAAAGAGCUCGUAGGCGGUUUGUCGCGUCGGCCGUGAAAACUUGGGGCUUAACCCCGAGCCUGCGGUCGAUACGGGCAGACCUGAGUUCGGCAGGGGAGACUGGAAUUCCUGGUGUAGCGGUGAAAUGCGCAGAUAUCAGGAGGAACACCGGUGGCGAAGGCGGGUCUCUGGGCCGAUACUGACGCUGAGGAGCGAAGGCGUGGGGAGCGAACAGG
rnacentral:rRNA from 1 species